UUUUUUUUUUUUUUUUCUUGUGGGAAAUACAUUUAUACUGGUAUAGUGGGUGAUUCAGGACUUCAAACUUCAAAGCCUCACCCAAGCUCACAGCACAGAAGGAUGCCCAAUACACACUCCAAGGCCAUAGGGCUUCACCUGUGGUGUUACAAAGAUUUUGGAGCCAAAGCCAGUAUUCCUCCUCGUUCAUCUUUCUUUAAAUACAGUUCCAGACUCAAUGUUUUCCCCUCUCCUCUCCCUUAAACAAAGUAGGAUAGUACUUAAAAUUUUGCAAGAGACACACAACACAGAAAAAUUUCUUCCUUUAUUGUUUCUACUUAAUUUAUGUUAAUGACAGUGUAUUAAAGAAAUGAAGGAGUUCCCAUGUGGCACAGUGGGUUAAGGAUUAGGCAUUGUCAUUGCCAUGGCUCAGGUUCGACCCCUGGCCAGGGAAGUUUCCCACGCCUGGUGAGGCCAAAAAAAAAGAGAUGGUGAGCCUCCAAGAAUGCAAUGAGGCCUGGCAGAACUCCUCUGGUUUCUCUAAGACAGACACAGGGAAGGGGGGCUGUUUGCUUACACCUCUCACCCUGAACAGGAAGGCCCUGCAAACUGAGGCUGCAAGACAAGACAUCAGACCAGCCUCGAGUUUUCAUAAGUGCUUUAGGUAAACCUCGUUCCCUUCCCUCACCCCUCAGUGCCCCCCAACCCCGCACCUCAAAGCAGAGUCAUCUGCAUACACAAAUGUACCUGGCUGGCAGCCUGGUGUAGCUAAACCUCCCCAGGGACUGUUUGCACUGUAGUAGUUAAAAAGGUCUGUUUUCCUCCAGAGACCUCUCUUCUCUGGGGAAGUGUCAGUAAGUUAGUUCAGGUAAUGGUGCAUGAACAGGUGUCUGGCCUCACCUGUGCUGCUCCCCACCUGCCCCCUGAGCACCAGCAGGACUGGGCUGCCUUGUCUCCUCCCAGUGCCAGGUUACAUCCUCCCCUUCCCAGGCACAGGCUGUUCCCUCUUUUCCACACUGCACCUGCUGCCACAAAACUAUCUUCUGUGAAGACUUCAAAAAGCAUGUCAAGGAGUUCCUGUCGUGGCACAGCAGAAACAAAUCCAACUAGGAACCAUGAGGUUGCGGGUUCGAUCCCUGGCCUCAUUCAGUGAGUUAAGAAUCUGGCGUUGCUGUGGCUGUGGCAUAGGCCUGCAGCAACAGCUCCGAUUAGACCCCUAGCCUAGGAACCUCCAUAUGCCGCGGGUGCCUCCCCCAGCCUCCACAUCUAUGUCCCCGUCACACUGAGGUUACUCCUUCCAGCACAAUGGGCUCUGCCAAAGUCACUAAUUUACUCCUAUGUCACCCCAGGAGCUGUACCACAGAGCGUGGCACCAGGCUUACAACAUAGCAACUGUUACAUACAUUCUUGAGAAUAAAUGCACCACCUAAAAGCUUUCACUCCAAAGCCUAAAAAAAGAUAAUCAGAUACAGACCUACCCAAGGAGAGUCUAUUUCAAAUGACUGUCAGGCAGGAAUAUGUCUUCCCAAAUCCUGAUUUUUCCUUCAACACGUGGCUAUGAUUCUUUCAGGCUCCAACCCGACCCUCUUAUUACCCUUCCCCAGUUGAGCCAACAGCGGCCUUCAAACCAAAAGAUGAAUGCGAAUUGUGAAAUGCGAACAUUCUUUCAUUCAACAAAUAUGUGUCUCGUGCUUCAUACAGGAGGCACAGUGCUAAGCCCUGGGACUAUACUCGUGAGCAAAACCAGCACUGCUCCCAACCUAGUGGAAUGAAACCGAGGAAUGCGUGUUUACGAUAUUAUAAUUGUGAUAAACACUUUUUGAGGAAAAUGACAAAGUAUCACAGAGAGUGUCAUACUUUAAUAAGGGAACCUAACAUAGCCCGGGUCUGGGUCUGGGUCGGAGGUGGGAGAUUUGCUAAUAUGAGUGUAUAUGGACUAGGGUAGGUUACCUUUGGAAGUAGGCGUUUGUUAGCGACUGUGUGUGUGUGUGUGUGUGUGUCCAUGCUGGUUAGCAGAGCGUGAAAAGAUGAUCGUUACAGUGAUAAAAGCCUGUGUGCAGCCUGAAAGAGUCUGCAGAGUCUCAGGAACAGAGAAGAGGACAAGGCGGCUGGAGCCAUGAGCUCCCAGUACAAGUGAGUGAGGUUGAACUGCAGUGUAUCCAAUUGGCUAAACUGAAUUAUUUUUCCUUCCUGAAUCUGUCAGAGAAGGACUAACUACACAGGCUACAUCUGUGGAAGCAAUGUUUCUAAAUUGAAAAAGAGCAACAGUGAAGUAAUAACACCAGACAGAAAUGAGUCAACUAAAGAGGCAGCAUCUCCAAGCUGACUAAACACAGGGAGAUUCUCAGCUCAAGUACUCCAAGAGAACCCCCCAGAAUUAGGUUAAGCUCAAGAGAAGAAGCAUACGGGGGUGGGGGUGUUACUGGGGAAGGAAGGAACUCAGACCCUGGCAUGCAUCCUGGCUAGAACAUGUCUCAGAAACAGCCUGGGCUAAAGCCAUUCAUACAGAGAAGUAUUUCCGAAAACUGAAGCCAAAUGAUCUGCAUGGCACUGCCACCCAAGGUACAUUGGUUUUUGUAAACGUAUAAAGGGGCUGUGAAUGCUGUGGAUCAUUUAAAAUGUGUAUCUCCUAUUUAUAAGACUCUGAAUUUGUUUGUGUUACCUCUCAAUCGAAACUGAUACAAUGCUGAGGAGUCCAUGGCUUCCAGGCAUCAUUACAAAAUCACUAGCGCUUCUUAACAGCUGGUGGCAGCAAAAAUCUGAAUCUUGAGAUCAGAUUUCUUCAUUUGAUGCCUAGCUAAGACUCACCUCAAGUUCUCAAGCACAGUAAAAUGGGAGGGUUGCCCCAGAGGCAGAGGUUAAUGCAUGUCAGGAUCUGAACAUAUACCUGCCUGAUGAAUAAGCUGGACUUCCUAUUUAAGAGUUAUAAUCACAACUUAUAUUGAAGAUCUUAUGUGACUAGUAUUUGCUCUGUACAAGGAAAACAUUUUCAGCUGAAGUGGUAGGGUGCCGGCAAUGUACUUCAUCUAUAUCCUAAGUGGCUUAGGGGCUAAGUACAUAAUCCCUUCAGCUGGAUGCCUCAAUUACAUUUAUCUUAUUGUAGCUACUAUUGCACAGUUAAUCACCUCCAUCUGUAUUGUUAACCUGAUGCUUUAAAUAUUCAUACUCGCAGAGCACAUCCAUUAUUUUUUUGGCAUUCUUUCAUCUGAAAAGAUCCUUGGAACAUUAAUGGUUGGUGAGAUAAUGAAUGGCAUGUUCCUAAUAUUAUAAAUUAUUGUGACUUUUAUACUCAAUGACUGGUUGUGACUUGGAAAUUCAAAACCACAACUAUAUGUGUGACUAUAAAAUGAUGAUGAAAAUAGGUGUGCAUUCUAUACUUAUGGGCUGUUUGACAUUUUACAGCUUGCCCAGAUUUUAUAAAAAGAAAUGACCUUGAAAAUAAUUAAGCAUAUCACAUGGUAAGACUGCAGCUCACUGAAAUAUGACAAUAUGUUCAUGUCUUUAUAAUGCGGCUAAGCAUUCAAGAAACAGGAAAAAAACUUUAUUGCUCUUUACAAUACAAUUUAUACUUGUAUUUUAUAGGCUCAUGCAUAUUCACCACAAGGCCAUUUUAAUCUUUGUUUACCUAUAUACCUCUGAACUUGGAAAUAAAGGCAAUCAGGUCUCAGCCGACUAGAUUGGGAAGAUCAGACUUGCACGGAGGCCUAAGGGUCUGGUUGAGGUUUUAUCAGCCUGUGUUUAAUUAGAAUGCUCUCAGUAAAAACAGAAAUUGAGAUUAGCUUUCUUUAAAAGGGAACGUGUAAGCAGCAUGAUACAUAAAUUUAGCUGCUGUCAUUUUAUAAAAAUGCAAUAGUAACAACAAAGAGUAACAAACAAAUGCAAUAGUAACAACAACAAAAAAGACAAUGAGAUGGAAAGAAAAUACCUAAGAGACCUGGAUGUUAUCAGGCCCCUGGUGUUUAGAUAAGUAUGCUCCCUGCAGCGCUGGGAAGGGCUCAGAGAAGUCACAUUCAGCCACAUCUUAGGACUCUAGGGCAGGUGGUCCUGAUAUGGAAAGUCAAUUCAGAGAUCUAAAGAAAAGGUCCUCCGGGAGUGCCCGUUGUGGCUCAGCAGAAAGAAAUCUAACUAGCAUCCAUGAGGAGGCAGGUUCAACUCCUGGCCUCGCUCAGUGGGUUAAGGAUCUGGCGUUGCUGCGAGCUGUGGUGUAGGUCUCAGAUGCAGCUCAGAUCCCACAUUGCUGUGGCUGUGGUGUAGGCCAGCAGCGGCAGCUUUGAUUCGAUUCCUAGCCUGGAAACUUCCAUGUGCUGUGGGUUUGGCCCUAAAAAGACCAAAAAAAAAAAAAAAAAAAAAAAAAAGAAAGAAAGAAAGAGAGAAAGAAAAGGACUACCCAGGAGAAAAGAGGCACAGUUCCUGGUUAGGUCAGGUUCUCUGCUGGGUCUCCUCUUCUCCGGCCCCAGCAGGGUCCAUCCACAGCACGGAGUUUAAAUGUGCACAGAGUUGAGCUGGGUUUCCGACGGGUCCCUUUGAAAAGGGCUUGAAGGAGAUGGUACUAAAAGCUGUUCUCAUGGGGCGAGGGACUGCCCCUAGAGAUUUUGUAAACAGAUAGGGUAGGGGGUUCCAGGAGAAAGAGAACCAAAAUUGGUUUUCUUGACAGAAGAGAAGCCAUUUUUGGCCUAAGACAUUUUGUAGUCUAAUCCUGGCCCCAAUGCUUGCCCUUGAAAAGUCUUAGUAAUUAAAGAUCUUAAGGGGAGUGAGAAAAUGGAGGAACGAAGGAAAAACAAUCAAGAAACAAUGGUUUAGU
rnacentral:lncRNA from 1 species